CUGAAACCCUGGUUGCCCUGCCAGUUCCAGCAUGGAGAAUUUGUUUCAAACCUCUGGGUAACUCUUGUGUCAGGGAUGAAUUCGUGUGUCUUCAUUAACAUUUAAAACCAGCAGCUAAAAAAAAGUUCACUGGAAGUUUUUUUUUUUAAGAAAUAGAAAAGCAAACAAAAUCGCCCCACUUCCCCAAACCAUCACAACCUGGUUUGAUUUAGCUCAUUUUUGAGGAACUCAGUUGAAUGAGAUGGCUGCUGUUCAAUCUCUCCUUCCCCUGACCCAGCCUGAAAUAACGCUCUUGUGAAAGGCAAGCCCUGCAGUGGUCUGACGGCUCUCAGCUGCAAGGGGAGGCGUGUGACGUGAUGUGAGCGGGUGCACACACACCCACAGGAAGGAGUUUGGGUUUCGUGCUCACGAAGGGGACUGCCACUAUAGCUGCCAGGGAAUAUCAGCUAUGACCUGGUGUAUUUGAGGAUGAGACAGCCCAAGACCCCCACCGGGACCCCUCAAGUGUGUCCAGUGUGGCACAGAACACAACCAGCGUGUCAUCACCCAGGUGUCCUUGUCAAAAGGUGGUGUUGGCCUGGGCGGCUCCUGGAUGAGGUUGUGUAGCCGGGCCUGGGUCCUCUCUGCUGUUGGCUGCAUCCCUGGCGUGGAGUGGCAGAAUCCAGAGGGGAUUCUUGGGGGGAGCUCCACCAGGUAUUCGGCCUGGGGUCACAGAUGGUUCGGUACCAGGCUGACUUAAGAAGCAGAACCAGGAGGCUGCUGAGAAUUCCCCGAGUCUGUCCAAGUGUUGAGAUGCCCUAAUCGAUCACUGCUCAUGCAGUUUGGUUUUUGAGAGAAUCACUUCAUGAUAACGGGACAUUUUUCUCCUGUUUUUGAAGAAAAUGUGGAUGAGAAACUAAACGAACCCAGGCAGGCCCAGCAGUGGCCUGUGCUGAUGCUUUAUGAGAUUUUUGGGAGGUCGCAUUGAAGCACUUUAACACCAGUUUCUGAGCAGACGUUCUGGAAGCUGGUUUGGAAACUCAUGGCUCUUUCAAAACUGGAUGAAAACCAGAAAAGGAUGCUAGAAACCUGGCAGUGUUACCAGCAACCCUGUGAACCUUUGGGACAUCCCAGGGAAUUUGAGUAAUAGACCCCAUUGAAACAAACAGGCAAGGCAAAUCUCAUUGGAAUCCUUUUCAUUCAAACCCUCGUUCUCCCUGGCACACGCUGGGUGUCUGAAGAUACGUCUUUAACAAGGGUGAUGAAGAAUUGUGUGCACUCUGCACAGGGGCC
ensembl:lncRNA